rnacentral:rRNA from 1 species
AGGUUAAGUUAGAAAGGGCGCACGGUGAAUGCCUAGGCACUAGGAGCCGAUGAAGGACGGGACUAACACCGAUAUGCUUCGGGGAGCUGUAAGUAAGCUUUGAUCCGGAGAUUUCCGAAUGGGGGAACCCUCUAUCCGUAAUGGGAUAGAAUCUUUACCUGAAUACAUAGGGUAUUGAAGGCAGACCCGGGGAACUGAAACAUCUAAGUACCCGGAGGAAGAGAAAGCAAACGCGAUUCCCUGAGUAGCGGCGAGCGAAACGGGAUUAGCCCAAACCAAGAGGCUUGCCUCUUGGGGUUGUAGGACACUCUACACGGAGUUACAAAGGAACGAGGUAAAUGAACAGGUCUGGAAAGGCCGGCCAGAGAAGGUAAAAGCCCUGUAGUUGAAACUUCGUUCCCUCCAGAGUGGAUCCUGAGUACGGCGGGACACGAGAAAUCCCGUCGGAAGCAGGGAGGACCAUCUCCCAAGGCUAAAUACUCCCUAGUGACCGAUAGUGAACCAGUACCGUGAGGGAAAGGUGAAAAGCACCCCGGAAGGGGAGUGAAAGAGAUCCUGAAACCGUGUGCCUACAAGUAGUCAGAGCCCGUUUAUGGGUGAUGGCGUGCCUUUUGUAGAAUGAACCGGCGAGUUACGAUUACAUGCAAGGUUAAGUUGAAUAGACGGAGCCGCAGCGAAAGCGAGUCUGAAUAGGGCGAAUGAGUAUGUGGUCGUAGACCCGAAACCAGGUGAUCUACCCAUGUCCAGGUUGAAGUUCAGGUAACACUGAAUGGAGGACCGAACCCACGCACGUUGAAAAGUGCGGGGAUGAGGUGUGGGUAGCGGAGAAAUUCCAAUCGAACUUGGAGAUAGCUGGUUCUCUCCGAAAUAGCUUUAGGGCUAGCCUCAUGUAGAAAGAGUCUUGGAGGUAGAGCACUGUUUGGACUAGGGGCCCCCAUCGGGUUACCGAAUUCAGACAAACUCCGAAUGCCAAAGACUUAUCCAUGGGAGUCAGACUGCGAGUGAUAAGAUCCGUAGUCAAGAGGGAAACAGCCCAGACCACCAGCUAAGGUCCCAAAGUAUACGUUAAGUGGAAAAGGAUGUGGAGUUGCUUAGACAACCAGGAUGUUGGCUUAGAAGCAGCCACCAUUUAAAGAGUGCGUAAUAGCUCACUGGUCGAGUGACUCUGCGCCGAAAAUGUACCGGGGCUAAACGUAUCACCGAAGCUGUGGAUGGACAUCUACGAUGUCCGUGGUAGGAGAGCGUUCUAAGGGCGUUGAAGCUAGACCGCAAGGACUGGUGGAGCGCUUAGAAGUGAGAAUGCCGGUAUGAGUAGCGAAAGAUGGGUGAGAAUCCCAUCCACCGAAUGCCUAAGGUUUCCUGAGGAAGGCUCGUCCGCUCAGGGUUAGUCGGGACCUAAGCCGAGGCUGAAAAGCGUAGGCGAUGGACAACAGGUUGAUAUUCCUGUACCACCAAACUCCGUUUGAGCAAUGGGGGGACGCAGGAGGAUAGGGUAAGCGCACUGCUGGAUAUGUGCGUCUAAGCAGUUAGGCUGCAAGCGAGGAAAAUCCCGUUUGCGUGNGGCGAUGGACAACAGGUUGAUAUUCCUGUACCACCAAACUCCGUUUGAGCAAUGGGGGGACGCAGGAGGAUAGGGUAAACGCACUGCUGGAUAUGUGCGUCUAAGCAGUUAGGCUGCAAGCGAGGAAAAUCCCGUUUGCGUGAAGGCUGAGCUGUGACAGCGAGGGAAAUAUAGUACCGAAGUUCCUGAUUCCACACUGCCAAGAAAAGCCUCUAGCGAUGGAUUUGGGUGCCCGUACCGCAAACCGACACAGGUAGGCGAGGAGAGAAUCCUAAGGUGAGCGAGAGAACUCUCGUUAAGGAACUCGGCAAAAUGACCCCGUAACUUCGGGAGAAGGGGUGCUUUUUAGGGUGAAUAGCCCUGAAAAGCCGCAGUGAAUAGGCCCAGGCGACUGUUUAGCAAAAACACAGGUCUCUGCGAAGCCGCAAGGCGAAGUAUAGGGGCUGACGCCUGCCCGGUGCUGGAAGGUUAAGAGGAGGGGUUAGCUUACGCGAAGCUCUGAAUUGAAGCCCCAGUAAACGGCGGCCGUAACUAUAACGGUCCUAAGGUAGCGAAAUUCCUUGUCGGGUAAGUUCCGACCCGCACGAAAGGCGUAACGAUCUGGGCACUGUCUCAACGAGAGACUCGGUGAAAUUAUAGUACCUGUGAAGAUGCAGGUUACCCGCGACAGGACGGAAAGACCCCGUGGAGCUUUACUGUAGCCUGAUAUUGAAUUUCGGUACAGCUUGUACAGGAUAGGUAGGAGCCUUGGAAGCCGGAGCGCCAGCUUCGGUGGAGGCAUCGGUGGGAUACUACCCUGGCUGUAUUGAAAUUCUAACCCAUGCCCCUGAUCGGGGCAGGAGACAGUGUCAGGUGGGCAGUUUGACUGGGGCGGUCGCCUCCUAAAAAGUAACGGAGGCGCCCAAAGGUUCCCUCAGAAUGGUUGGAAAUCAUUCGAAGAGUGUAAAGGCAUAAGGGAGCUUGACUGCGAGACCUACAAGUCGAGCAGGGACGAAAGUCGGGCUUAGUGAUCCGGUGGUUCCGCAUGGAAGGGCCAUCGCUCAACGGAUAAAAGCUACCCCGGGGAUAACAGGCUUAUCUCCCCCAAGAGUCCACAUCGACGGGGAGGUUUGGCACCUCGAUGUCGGCUCAUCGCAUCCUGGGGCUGUAGUCGGUCCCAAGGGUUGGGCUGUUCGCCCAUUAAAGCGGUACGCGAGCUGGGUUCAGAACGUCGUGAGACAGUUCGGUCCCUAUCCGUCGUGGGCGCAGGAAAUUUGAGAGGAGCUGUCCUUAGUACGAGAGGACCGGGAUGGACGCACCGCUGGUGUACCAGUUGUUCUGCCAAGAGCAUCGCUGGGUAGCUAUGUGCGGAAGGGAUAAGUGCUGAAAGCAUCUAAGCAUGAAGCCCCCCUCGAGAUGAGAUUUCCCAUAGCGUCAAGCUAGUAAGACCCCUGAAAGAUGAUCAGGUUGAUAGGUUUGAGGUGGAAGCGUGGUGACACGUGGAGCUGACAAAUACUAAUCGGUCGAGGACUUAACCA